ensembl:snRNA U6 U6 spliceosomal RNA
AUCCCUUUGGCAGCACAUAUACUGAAAUUGGAAUGAUACAGAGAAGAUCAGUGUGGCUCCUUACUAGGAUGACACACCCAUUUGACGUGUUCCAUAUUUUU